GGCCGCGUGGCAAAAUGGUUACUGCGUUGCUUUCCGGUUUACUGGCUAGGCAGAGAUUGUGCGUUCGAUCCGCACCGUGGUCG